CGAACGGCAGCACGGGGGCAACCCUGGUGGCGAGUGGCGAACGGGUGAGUAAUACAUCGGAACGUGUCCUGUAGUGGGGGAUAGCCCGGCGAAAGCCGGAUUAAUACCGCAUACGCUCUACGGAGGAAAGGGGGGGAUCUUAGGACCUCUCGCUACAGGGGCGGCCGAUGGCAGAUUAGCUAGUUGGUGGGGUAAAGGCCUACCAAGGCGACGAUCUGUAGCUGGUCUGAGAGGACGACCAGCCACACUGGGACUGAGACACGGCCCAGACUCCUACGGGAGGCAGCAGUGGGGAAUUUUGGACAAUGGGCGCAAGCCUGAUCCAGCAAUGCCGCGUGUGUGAAGAAGGCCUUCGGGUUGUAAAGCACUUUUGUCCGGAAAGAAAACGUCGUGGUUAAUACCCGUGGCGGAUGACGGUACCGGAAGAAUAAGCACCGGCUAACUACGUGCCAGCAGCCGCGGUAAUACGUAGGGUGCAAGCGUUAAUCGGAAUUACUGGGCGUAAAGCGUGCGCAGGCGGUCCGCUAAGACAGAUGUGAAAUCCCCGGGCUUAACCUGGGAACUGCAUUUGUGACUGGCGGGCUAGAGUAUGGCAGAGGGGGGUAGAAUUCCACGUGUAGCAGUGAAAUGCGUAGAGAUGUGGAGGAAUACCGAUGGCGAAGGCAGCCCCCUGGGCCAAUACUGACGCUCAUGCACGAAAGCGUGGGGAGCAAACAGGAUUAGAUACCCUGGUAGUCCACGCCCUAAACGAUGUCAACUAGUUGUCGGGUCUUCAUUGACUUGGUAACGUAGCUAACGCGUGAAGUUGACCGCCUGGGGAGUACGGUCGCAAGAUUAAAACUCAAAGGAA
rnacentral:rRNA from 1 species